rnacentral:rRNA from 1 species
CAGCAGCCGCGGGAACACGUAGGUGGCAAGCGUUGUCCGGAAUUAUUGGGCGUAAAGGGCUCGCAGGCGGUUUCUUAAGUCUGAUGUGAGAGCCCCCGGCUCAACCGGGGAGGGUCAUUGGAAACUGGGAAACUUGAGUGCAGAAGAGGAGAGUGGAAUCCCACGUGUAGCGGCGAAAUGCGUAGAGAUGUGGAGGAACACCAGUGGCGAAGGCGACUCUCUGGUCUGUAACUGACGCUGAGGAGCGAAAGCGUGGGGAGCGAACAGGAUUAGAUACCCGAGUAGUCCCUGUCUCUUAUCC